rnacentral:tRNA from 1 species
UCGGGUGUGGCGGCAKSCCGGUAGCCUUGUUACUGCAAUGGGGUUGCAAGUKGUCGCAGGUUCAAAUCCUGUCACCCGAC